rnacentral:lncRNA from 1 species
GUUGUUAACCAUGAUUCUGAGAGCACAAUGAUUUUUGGUUUGUAAUGGGAACAACAGGCUUGCAGUGCAUCCAGUUUAGGGAGUAAGCUACGGAUGUUGCAGUGCACAAAAAAGAGGCCUUUUUCAGUGGGGAGAUUAGGGCAAUUAUUAGCUGGGGGACCAGGGUUAGACUCCACAUCAUCUGCGAGGGCAAGUAACAUAAGGAAUAGGAAUUUGG